UACGUAGGGGGCUAGCGUUGUCCGGAAUCAUUGGGCGUAAAGCGCGUGUAGGCGGCCCGGUAAGUCCGCUGUGAAAGUCGGGGGCUCAACCCUCGGAUGCCGGUGGAUACUGUCGGGCUUGAGUACGGAAGAGGCGAGUGGAAUUCCCGGUGUAGCGGUGAAAUGCGCAGAUAUCAGGAGGAACACCAAUUGCGAAGGCAGCUCGCUGGGACGUUACUGACGCUGAGACGCGAAAGCGUGGGGAGCAAACAGG
rnacentral:rRNA from 1 species